CCUGAAGUUAUGGUUUUUAAUCCUGUCAGUAAACAAAAUGACCUUUAACUUAAAAAAAAAUAAAACAGAGAGAAGCCAGGUGCCAGUGGCUCAUGCCUAUGAUCUUAGCUAUGUAGGAUCUGAUGAGCUGAGAUCUGAGCAUCAUGGUUCAAAG